rfam:Otolemur garnettii contig121359, whole genome shotgun sequence.
CAGUGCAGUCACCCAUAAAGUAGAAAGCACUACUAACAGCACUGGAGGGUGUAGUGUUUCCUACUUUAUGGAUGAGUGUACUGU